CCUGGCUCAGGACGAACGCUGGCGGCGCGCCUAACACAUGCAAGUCGAACGAGAGAGAGGAAGCUUGCUUCCUCAAUCGAGUGGCGAACGGGUGAGUAACGCGUGAGGAACCUGCCUCAAAGAGGGGGACAACAGUUGGAAACGACUGCUAAUACCGCAUAAGCCCACGGGUCGGCAUCGACCAGAGGGAAAAGGAGCAAUCCGCUUUGAGAUGGCCUCGCGUCCGAUUAGCUAGUUGGUGAGGUAAUGGCCCACCAAGGCAACGAUCGGUAGCCGGACUGAGAGGUUGAACGGCCACAUUGGGACUGAGACACGGCCCAGACUCCUACGGGAGGCAGCAGUGGGGAAUAUUGCACAAUGGGGGAAACCCUGAUGCAGCGACGCCGCGUGGAGGAAGAAGGUCUUCGGAUUGUAAACUCCUGUUGUUGAGGAAGAUAAUGACGGUACUCAACAAGGAAGUGACGGCUAACUACGUGCCAGCAGCCGCGGUAAAACGUAGGUCACAAGCGUUGUCCGGAAUUACUGGGUGUAAAGGGAGCGCAGGCGGGAAGACAAGUUGGAAGUGAAAUCUAUGGGCUCAACCCAUAAACUGCUUUCAAAACUGUUUUUCUUGAGUAGUGCAGAGGUAGGCGGAAUUCCCGGUGUAGCGGUGGAAUGCGUAGAUAUCGGGAGGAACACCAGUGGCGAAGGCGGCCUACUGGGCACCACUGACGCUGAGGCUCGAAAGUGUGGGUAGCAAACAGGAUUAGAUACCCUGGUAGUCCACACCGUAAACGAUGAUUACUAGGUGUUGGAGGAUUGACCCCUUCAGUGCCGCAGUUAACACAAUAAGUAAUCCACCUGGGGAGUACGACCGCAAGGUUGAAACUCAAAGGAAUUGACGGGGGCCCGCACAAGCAGUGGAGUAUGUGGUUUAAUUCGACGCAACGCGAAGAACCUUACCAAGUCUUGACAUCCUGCGACGAUGCUGGAAACAGUAUUUUCCUUCGGGACGCAGAGACAGGUGGUGCAUGGUUGUCGUCAGCUCGUGUCGUGAGAUGUUGGGUUAAGUCCCGCAACGAGCGCAACCCUUACUGUCAGUUACUACGCAAGAGGACUCUGGCAGGACUGCCGUUGACAAAACGGAGGAAGGUGGGGAUGACGUCAAAUCAUCAUGCCCUUUAUGACUUGGGCUACACACGUACUACAAUGGCGUUAAACAAAGAGAAGCAAGACCGCGAGGUGGAGCAAAACUCAGAAACAAGUCCCAGUUCGGACUGUAGGCUGCAACUCGCCUGCACGAAGUCGGAAUUGCUAGUAAUCGUGGAUCAGCAUGCCACGGUGAAUACGUUCCCGGGCCUUGUACACACCGCCCG
rnacentral:rRNA from 1 species